AAAAGGGUGCUGAGGCCAAGAAAACCCAGCCCAGCCCUGGGGACAAAGCCAGCCAGAAGACCCUCAGUGCUGGACACCAGAGCGCUUCAGCAACCAAGGAUAAGGCAUCUGACAAACCCCAGGCAAGAUUUUCAGUGCCCUCCAAGAUGGCAGCCGUUUCCUGCGCCACCGCUCCUGCACCACAGCGACUGACCAUCCUCACCAGGACAGGGAGAAAGGAGGAAAAGAGGAAGUGUUGGAGCUGUGUGCUGCCCGAGGAAUUGCUGGUGGAAAUCAUCUCUGAACGGCUGCAGCUGAGUGACUGCUACAAGGGAGGGGUGUUUGAUGGCCUGGAGACCCUCUUUGCGAGCAGCCUGGCAUCUUCUCUCCUGUGCGUGCUCAAAGCUGUGAAUGCUCCCAGCUGACCCAGAGCCCCAAGCUCUGCUCGCAGUCACUGAUGGCUUCUCUUGUGGUCUGUGCUGAAGCACGGGAGAAGGAAGAAGCUGCCCGGAGAGAGGAAGAACAUCUCUGGGAUGUGGAUGUGGACGAGUACGAAGCCCUCUCUGAGAAGCAGAAAGCUCUGCUUGAUUACAAAAUAGAACAAAUCAAGCGUGAGCGGAAGGAGAGAAGGGAGCUGGAGCAGCUGGCUCGAGAGCAUAAGGAAAGCAAAAAGGCGUCAUCACGAGCCUCAGAGAAGCAAGAUGGCCAGCAGGUUGGGAAGAGCUGCUGCC